rnacentral:rRNA from 1 species
UACGAAGGGAGCUAGCGUUGUUCGGAAUUACUGGGCGUAAAGGGCGCGUAGGCGGACAUCUAAGUCAGGGGUGAAAUCCCCAGGGCUCAACCCUGGAAUUGCCUUUGAUACUGGACGUCUCGAGUUCGGGAGAGGUGAGUGGAACUGCGAGUGUAGAGGUGAAAUUCGUAGAUAUUCGCAAGAACACCAGUGGCGAAGGCGGCUCACUGGCCCGAUACUGACGCUGAGGUGCGAAAGCGUGGGGAGCAAACAGG